CAGAGUUGGAAACGCGCGAGGGGACUGUACGAAGCAGAGCGGUGCGCGCGGGCAAGGCAGGCAGUCGGCGAGGAGGCCGAAUGAAGGGAUGCUUACCAUAGGGAAGGCUGUGAAAUAGGGUGGCUGUCCCUAUCCCUGGUUAUCCCCUCCCAGCCACCCCCCACCCCACUCCGCCAUAGGUCUUGACAGGAUAGACACUCCCUCCAUACAUUACUGACUGGUUUGCGGUUUUCUUUGAAAGCAUGGGGUGGGACCCAGGAAGUUCGCAGAUCUCAGUGGACCUUCUGCAGAUAUCAAGGCAACGUCUUGCAUCACCAGAUAAAGCUGCAACCUAAAAUCUUUGGCAGGAGUCUCAGCAGAUGGUUUCCUCAAGGUUUUUGGAGUGGCCUUUGUUCGCCUCUUGGGUUUACAAAGCAAUGUAGAGUCUUCUUCAUCACUGCUACUGGAAUCAGAACUUCCCAUAGAAUACAGGAAGUCUUUGCCAUCGUCCUCCUCUCCAGCGGUAUCUAAAAUACUAAAGGGGGAAACUGAUGAAACAGGGUAUCUUUAAGCUGGAUUGUCAACAGCAUACUAUGCUUCUAUGAUCAAAGACAUUCUCACCCAAGUUGUUUUGCAAUGCGACUAGCAGUCAUCUGUGCACAUUUCCUGCGAGAACGAGGAGUCCUGGCUUCUGAUUCUGGUUCUUUGGCUGAACUAAAAAAUGAAUGACGUAAGUGCCAACUUAAUACUGAUUUUCUAAACAUUGUAGCUUCAGUAUAUUAAGAGUAACUUAUACUCUUUAUACUCUCUUACACAUGUCAUCUGAGGAAAAAAGUAUAACUCCAGACUUACAUUAGUGAAACUGAGGUCAAUAGAUCUGUCCAUGUUGCUGACUCAUGUGGUACAAAGACUACCAAGGAUACUACAUACCAAAGCUCUACA